AUCAAUGAUGAAAAUCUGGAAUAGGAAGUGCCGUCAGAUGCGAUAACUGACGAUUGUUAACGAUCCAGUUUUCUGAGA
rnacentral:snoRNA from 1 species